rnacentral:rRNA from 1 species
AGUGAACGCUGGCGGUAGGCCUAACACAUGCAAGUCGAACGGCAGCACAGUAAGAGCUUGCUCUUACGGGUGGCGAGUGGCGGACGGGUGAGGAAUACAUAGGAAUCUACUUUUUCGUGGGGGAUAACGUAGGGAAACUUACGCUAAUACCGCAUACGACCUACGGGUGAAAGCAGGGGAUCUUCGGACCUUGCGCGACUGAAUGAGCCGAUGUCGGAUUAGCUAGUUGGCGGGGUAAAGGCCCACCAAGGCGACGAUACGUAGCUGGUCUGAGAGGAUGAUCAGCCACACUGGAACUGAGACACGGUCCAGACUCCUACGGGAGGCAGCAGUGGGGAAUAUUGGACAAUGGGCGCAAGCCUGAUCCAGCCAUACCGCGUGGGUGAAGAAGGCCUUCGGGUUGUAAAGCCCUUUUGUUGGGAAAGAACAGCAGCAGGUUAAUACCCCGCUGUUCUGACGGUACCCAAAGAAUAAGCACCGGCUAACUUCGUG